UUAAUUGAAACCAAAUAGAGGUAUAUUAUUGUUAAUAAUAUCAUUGAGUCAAGGAUUCCAAUUAAG
rnacentral:tRNA from 1 species